rnacentral:rRNA from 1 species
AACGUAGGACGCAAGCGUUAUCCGGAGUUACUGGGCGUAAAGCGCGUGCAGGCGGCUCGCUGCGUCUGCUGUGAAAUCUCCUCGCUCAACGGGGAGAGGCCAUUGGAAACGGUCGAGCUGGAGGGCAGUAGAGGUAGGCGGAAUUCCGGGUGGAGUGGUGAAAUGCGUAGAGAUCCGGAGGAACACCAGAGGCGAAGGCGGCCUACUGGGCUGCACCUGACGCUGAGCCGCGAAAGCCAGGGGAGCGAACGGG